GGUGGGAUCGACCAGGAGAAAGAGCAGAGGGGUGUAAACCCUAGCUCUCAAGAACAACAACACAAAUUCAGCCCAAUCAAAGCCAAAAUCGAAUGGAAAGCAUUGCAUGGGUGAAGAUCUCUCACUAUCUAGUCCUAACAAGCAUAUGAAAAAGGAACCACACUAGUAUGGACUCAAGCAUGGAAGGCUAACGGGUCAAGAGAAGGCAAGGAAGCGGAUACGAGCAAGAACGCAUAAGGUUACGCAGAUUAACAUUGGUAUAAAGUAUUGGAGGAUUAAAGAUCGAGUCAAGAGCAAGAAUUGUACGGGAAGAGUAGUCACAUAAACGGGGAUUUUAUAUGUAAAUUGGUCCGAUAAAUAAGAAUGAACAAUGUAAAUCUUUUAGUUAAGCAUUAAAUAUUUCUAGUAUUAGACAUCAAGUAUGUUA